AAGCCGAACUUGCUGAGGGAGUCACACCCCAAAGGACGCCCAUAACUAACCUACAGAGAUGUCUGCAAGUGAGAUCUUAGGACUACACAGGCAGCAAUGAAAGUCAUGGAAUGAAAUCGUGAACUAUCGGUCAGCAAGAAAAUGGAAGCUGCCCUAGCGGAUUGUCUUCAAAUGGGCAUGCUAGAACUGUAGCAAACUUUGCCCCUCAAGAAUGGGCUUGUUUAGUCACAUCAGAUUAGUCUACGCCCGGACUCAAGAAAAUAUCAAAAUGAGUGCUUCAUCAAGACCAAAAGAGCCAUAGAUCAUUAGAAUAUUAUAGUCUAGUAACUGACUCUAGCAGAUUUAUACAUUUGUUGACAGUAUAAAUAUGUUUUCAUUUUUCCCCCUAAGAUGAAUUUUAGCAAGGUCGGUAACCAACAUGAAUAAUGUUGGAGGUAUAAGAUGACUCAAUGCUGGCACCUAAGACUGAUCUAUGUGUUGUGUUGUCUUAGCAUUCAAGUUAUUCAUGGUCAAACAAGCCCUUGUGACUCCAUGGUGUGUUUUAAUGGUUCGCCGUGUGUGGAAACAGCACUUGUAGCUGUUUGUGAUUGUACCCCUGGCUACACUGGCAAGCAAUGUGAAACGAAUAUUGAUGACUGCCAGGUUCCAUUUGCACACCAAUGCCAAAAUAAUGCAGGCUGCAUGGAUGGGUUGAAUAACUAUACGUGUCAGUGCUUAUCAGGCUGGGAAGGGCCAUUCUGCGAGAAGGAAAAGAAUGAAUGUGAGUCUAGUCCUUGCAACAAUGGAGGCAUAUGUAGCGAUCAUUUUGACAGUUUUACAUGUAGUUGUCCUGUAAAUUUUACGGGGCCAACUUGCAAUACGGAUGUCGAUGAAUGUCAAGGUCAACCUUCUCCAUGUUAUAAUGGCGCUAGUUGUUCAAACACUUUUGGAAGCUUCAUGUGCUCUUGUGCAUUAGGAUACACAGGCCAGAUGUGUGAAUCAGAAAUAAACGAAUGUCUUAGCCAGCCCUGUUACUUUCAGGGAACUUGUGUGGAUCUUAUCAACAAUUAUCGUUGUGAAUGUUUGGAUGGGUUUCAAGGGAUGCAAUGUGAAACAGUAGUCAGACAAUGUGUAGUGCAGAACCUUUGUGGGGACAAUGGUAUUUGUAUUGACAAAAUUGAAGGUGGCUAUCAAUGUUUCUGUAAACCUGGUUACUAUGGAGACCAUUGUGAGCUGAUAGUCAACUUGUGUCUGUCUCAGCCAUGUCUGAAUGGUGCAACAUGUACCAAUUAUGGUGUGAGGUACACUUGCUCAUGUUUACCAGGAUUUAGUGGUAUUAACUGUGAAAAUGACAUUGAAGAGUGUGCUUCAUCUCCUUGCCAAAACAAUGGCACAUGUGUGGAACCAACACUAAACAGUUACCAGUGCCAGUGUGCUCCAGGUUACACUGGAACCCAGUGCCAACAAGAUAUUGAUGAUUGUGCUACAAAGCCAUGUAGGGUUUAUCAAGUUUGUAUUGACCUGGUGAAUGGAUUCAGAUGUGAAUGCCCUAUAGGAACUUCAGGGAAUUAUUGUGAACCCAACAACACAUCUGAUUGCAGACACAUUCCUUGUUCGAAUGGAGGAACCUGCAUGUCAAAAGACAAUGUAUUUGUAUGUAUUUGUCCAGCUUCCUACACUGGGGACUUCUGCACAUCUGCUCUUGACAUAUGUGAACCUAGCCCUUGCCAGAAUGGAGGAAGUUGCAUCGCAGUCAAUCAAACUAUGCAUGAAUGUGUGUGCCUUGUAAACUACAGUGGUCCCAAUUGUGAGACUCUAAACUCUGACUGUCUUAAAAGUCCUUGUCAAAAUGGGGGAACUUGUGUAGAUGUAAUGGCUUCUAGUAACAGUAGCAGCUUGAGUUUUUUAAAUACAACAGAAUCAAAAAAAGAUAUGUUUGUAUGUGUCUGUCAUUCUAACUCAACUGGAACAUUGUGUGAGAAUGUAGUAGAGGCUUGUAGCUCCAGUCCAUGCCUCAAUGGAGGCAACUGUUCAUCAUUCAGCUCUAAAGACUAUCACUGUGAUUGUGCUGUGGGCUGGGAGGGUCCAACAUGUUCUGAGAAUAUCAAUGAAUGUCUGUUCACAUCUCCAGUUUGUCAAAACAAUGGAACAUGUACAGAUCAGGCUCCUGGAUUUAUUUGUAAAUGUGGCAGUGAGUGGACAGGAGAUCAGUGUGAUGAAGAUGUUGUGGAUUGUCAGCCAGAUACUUGUCAGAAUGGUGGCACUUGUAUUGAAGGAUCAGGAAACUAUACUUGUGUUUGUACACUUGGCUAUAAAGGUGUGAACUGUACAGAGGAACAAUCCCAAUGUGAGCCCAAUCCUUGCUUCAACGAUGGAACUUGUGCAGAUAACACUCAGACUAGUAACACCAACUUCAUAUGUUCAUGUUUGCCUGGUUAUACAGGUCAGUUGUGUGAUGGCAACAUUGAUGAGUGUACUAUACUACGACCUUGUCUAAACAAUGCCACAUGUUUGGAUGCUGUCAAUGACUACAGCUGUGUGUGUUCUAUUGGAUGGACUGGAAAGAACUGUUCAGUAGAUAUAGAUGACUGCCUACCUAACCUUUGUUUAAACGGGGGUACUUGUAUUGAUAGGCUGGGAGGAUUUACAUGUCGAUGUCCAGUUGGCUUUACAAAUGUGACUUGUGAUCUUGAGAUUAAUGAGUGCAGCUUUCAGCCCUGUAGAAACAAUGCCACAUGUAUAGAUCUAGUCAACAGUUUCCAAUGUACAUGUCAGCCAGGAUAUACAGGUGUUGCCUGUGAAGUAGAUAUCAAUGAAUGUUUACCUUCCCCCUGUGCUGCAACAUCCACUUGUCUUGAUCAGGUCAACAACUAUACAUGCUUAUGUCCACCAGGUCUACAAGGUCAAAACUGUACUGAAGAUAUUCAAGAAUGUUCAUCUGCUCCUUGUCUUUAUGGUGGGGAGUGUACUGAAGUGGCUCUGGCCAUGUUUACUUGUGUUUGUCUGUCUGGGGUUGAAGGUCAAGUCUGUCAAUUCAUCAGAAGUGUAACCUUUUGGGGAAACAACUCCCUCAGUUUUCCACCUUCCGAGUUGAUGCCAUUGUUAGUCUCUGACAGUCUAAGGAUACAGUUUACACUGACAACCACUGUACUGGAUGGGAUACUACUUCUUGUCACUGGGGUAUCUGUUACUGGCCAACCUCAGCAUGUUGUCCUUGAACUUGGCAACAAUAGCCUGUAUGUGUCUGGGAGUAAUGGUCUUCAGUCAGUCAACAGUGUAGUAGUCUUGCCUUCUGGGUACAUUCACAACUAUGCUGUACUGCUAACCAUUGACAGCUUUAACAUUGCCAUCACACUGACCUCCAAUACUAUCAACACCACACUUGGUACCUCAGUUCAGUUGACUAGUGCAGCCAUGUGGAUCUUGAACAAUGCUUUUGUGUGUGGUGGUGUGCCUUUGUGGACUACAUAUCUUAGAUCUAUUGUCAGAACUACUGCAGGCUUCACAGGAUGUUUUGGAAAUCUUGUUAUCAACAAUCAACCAAUCAAUUUGGCUGUUUCAAGUCAGUUUACUCAGGCCAAUGAAACAACAGCUCCAACAGUUGGUUGUUCAACACACCUCCCAUGUUUCAAUACCACAUGUCUGAAUGGUGGCACUUGUAUUGACAUGUGGGGCUACAAGGCAUGUAAGUGUGUGUCAGGGUUUACAGGAUCCCAGUGUGAGGUACAGAAUGUAGCCAGUUUUGUAGAGCCAAGCAUGUUGUACUUUGAAGGAGAUCAGCUCCUGACACAGGUCUCAUUGGAAGUGAACUUCAGAAAUACAACUGCUGGUCUUCUAGUGUACACUAUCUUUGAAGACAUGCUCUCUGUCAGUGUUAGUGAUGGAGAACUGAGAAUACACUUGGCCUCUCUUGCUUCAUCUUCUGAAAGUGUGCAAAAUGUGACCACUAUUGUACAGCACCAAGGGUGGGUGACUGUUAACAUUCAGUUUAGUGCUAACCUGUAUGUUGUGAAUGUUUCUAGUCCUACAGGAAUGAUUGAAUCAUACUCUGGUGUAUUUGAUCACAUCAUUAGAGUAGUGGAGCCAGUGUUCAUUGGACGACUACACAGUGCAGUGGAUAUGUGGAGGAACAGGAAUAUAUCACUGCCUACUGAUAUGAGUUUCCAAGGCUGCCUGAGAAAUGUCUACAUCAACCAGAAGUUGUUGGACUUAUCAACUAGUACUUCAACACCACUUGGAAAUGACCCUCCUAGGGCAAGUGCAGGAUGUCCUUUAAAUGAACCAUGUGUGACCAAUCCUUGUGGAAAUCAAGGGACCUGUCUAUCUAACUGGACAGGACCAACAUGUCUGUGUAGAGAGGGAUAUAGUGGACAAAACUGUUCUGAGGUUAGUUCAGCCACAUUUGAUGGUUACUCAAGUUACUCACUGGUUCAACUUGACACAACAAAGAUUGCUUUUGGCAGUGAAGGGACACUUGAAUUCCGCACUCGACUGUUGACCUCAACACUUAUGCUUCUUCAAUUCACUGGACUAGGUGGCAGUAACAGCAAGUACAUAGAAAUUCGAAUGUUUGAGGGAAGGCUACAGAUGUACUCUGGUUUUAAUACAGUUGGAGUUGAAUCUAAGCUUAACGUAUCAGAUGGCUUGUGGCAUUCCGUACAUUGGGUUAGAAGAUUGACAGACCUUAUUUUCUUCAUUGAGAAUGAGACAACAACACUACAAGCAGAGUUUGACAUCUACAAUCAGAGUCUUGCUAGUCAGGUCAACAUAUACAUUGGGGCAAGGCCUUUCUUUAUUGGGAGUUCAUCCUACCUUAUAGGAUAUUUCAAAGGCUGCAUCAGAAACAUUUCCUUCAACAAGAUUCCUGUUCAGUUUUCAACAACUCAAUCCUCUGAUGGAUUGAUGGUGAAUGUGUCAAGGCUAACACAGGGAUGUGUGAGUGAUUCAGUGUGUCUGAACAGUUCCUGCCCAGUUAACACUUACUGUGCGGAAGAUUGGAAUCUGAUUCAUUGUCCCUGUCUGGAAGGCUGGGAGGGAGACAAUUGUAGCACCAAUGUCAAUGAUUGUCUCAUUAACAGCUGUUUGAAUGGAGCCACCUGCAAGGAUCAGCUACUUACCUACACCUGUGAGUGCACUGCAGGCUACACUGGUCAGUUCUGUGAAACACCUGUGAAUGACCCAUGCAAUAAUAACACCUGUAUCAUAAAUCAUACGGCUACUUGUGAACCUAUCAAUGCUACACAUUAUAGCUGUAACUGUAUUGCUGGAUACACUGGUCAGUUCUGUGAAACACUUAUGUCUGACCCAUGCAAUAAUAACACCUGUAUCAUAAAUCAUACAGCUACUUGUGAACCUAUCAAUUCUACACAUUAUAACUGCAACUGUAUUGCUGGAUACACUGGUCAGUUCUGUGAAACACUUAUGUCUGACCCAUGCAAUAAUAACACCUGUAUCAUAAAUCAUACAGCUACUUGUGAACCUAUCAAUUCUACACAUUAUAAAUGUAACUGUAUUGCUGGAUACACUGGUCAGUUCUGUGAAACACUUAUAUCUGACCCAUGCAAUAAUAACACCUGUAUCAUAAAUCAUACAACUACUUGUGAACUUAUCAAUUCUACACAUUAUAACUGCAACUGUAUUGCUGGAUACACUGGUCAGUUCUGUGAAACACUUAUAUCUGAUCCAUGCAAUAAUAACACAUGUAUCAUAAAUCAUACAACUACUUGUGAACUUAUCAAUUCUACACAUUAUAACUGCAACUGUAUUGCUGGAUACACUGGUCAGUUCUGUGAAACACUUAUAUCUGAUCCAUGCAAUAAUAACACCUGUAUCAUAAAUCAUACGGCUACUUGUGAACUUAUCAAUUCUACACAUUAUAACUGCAACUGUAUUGCUGGAUACACUGGUCAGUUCUGUGAAACACUUAUAUCUGAUCCAUGCAAUAAUAACACAUGUAUCAUAAAUCAUACAGCUACUUGUGAACCUAUCAAUUCUACACAUUAUAACUGCAACUGUAUUGCUGGAUACACUGGUCAGUUCUGUGAAACACUUAUAUCUGAUCCAUGCAAUAAUAACACCUGUAUCAUAAAUCAUACAGCUACUUGUGAACCUAUCAAUUCUACACAUUAUAAAUGUAACUGUAUUGCUGGAUACACUGGUCAGUUCUGUGAAACACUUAUAUCUGACCCAUGCAAUAAUAACACCUGUAUCAUAAAUCAUACAACUACUUGUGAACUUAUCAAUUCUACACAUUAUAACUGCAACUGUAUUGCUGGAUACACUGGUCAGUUCUGUGAAACACUUAUAUCUGAUCCAUGCAAUAAUAACACCUGUAUCAUAAAUCAUACAGCUACUUGUGAACCUAUCAAUUCUACACAUUAUAAAUGUAACUGUAUUGCUGGAUACACUGGUCAGUUCUGUGAAACACUUAUAUCUGACCCAUGCAAUAAUAACACCUGUAUCAUAAAUCAUACAACUACUUGUGAACUUAUCAAUUCUACACAUUAUAACUGCAACUGUAUUGCUGGAUACACUGGUCAGUUCUGUGAAACACUUAUAUCUGAUCCAUGCAAUAAUAACACCUGUAUCAUAAAUCAUACAGCUACUUGUGAACCUAUCAAUUCUACACAUUAUAAAUGUAACUGUAUUGCUGGAUACACUGGUCAGUUCUGUGAAACACUUAUAUCUGACCCAUGCAAUAAUAACACCUGUAUCAUAAAUCAUACAACUACUUGUGAACUUAUUAAUUCUACACAUUAUAACUGCAACUGUAUUGCUGGAUACACUGGUCAGUUCUGUGAAACACUUAUAUCUGAUCCAUGCAAUAAUAACACCUGUAUCAUAAAUCAUACAGCUACUUGUGAACCUAUCAAUUCUACACAUUAUAAAUGUAACUGUAUUGCUGGAUACACUGGUCAGUUCUGUGAAACACUUAUAUCUGACCCAUGCAAUAAUAACACCUGUAUCAUAAAUCAUACAACUACUUGUGAACUUAUCAAUUCUACACAUUAUAACUGCAACUGUAUUGCUGGAUACACUGGUCAGUUCUGUGAAACACUUAUAUCUGAUCCAUGCAAUAAUAACACCUGUAUCAUAAAUCAUACAGCUACUUGUGAACCUAUCAAUUCUACACAUUAUAACUGCUACUGUAUUGCUGGAUACACUGGUCAGUUCUGUGAAACACUUAUAUCUGAUCCAUGCAAUAAUAACACAUGUAUCAUAAAUCAUACAACUACUUGUGAACUUAUCAAUUCUACACAUUAUAACUGCAACUGUAUUGCUGGAUACACUGGUCAGUUCUGUGAAACACUUAUAUCUGAUCCAUGCAAUAAUAACACCUGUAUCAUAAAUCAUACUGCUACUUGUGAACCUAUCAAUUCUGCACAUUAUAACUGCAACUGUAUUGCUGGAUACACUGGUCAGUUCUGUGAAACACUUAUAUCUGAUCCAUGCAAUAAUAACACCUGUAUCAUAAAUCAUACUGCUACUUGUGAACCAAUCAAUUCUGCACAUUAUAACUGCAACUGUAUUGCUGGAUACACUGGUCAGUUCUGUGAAACACUUAUGUCUGACCCAUGUAGCAGCAAUACCUGCUUCACAAAUCAAACAUCUUCUUGUAAGACUAUUAAUGCUACUCAUUACUCCUGCAUCUGCUCUGCAGGCUACACUGGUCAGUUCUGUGAAACACUCAUGUCUGACUCAUGUGCCAAUAAUACCUGCAUUACAAAUCAAACAGCCUCAUGCAAUGCUUUUAAUGCCACAGAUUAUUCCUGUAUAUGCCUUGCAGGCUACACAGGGCAAUUUUGUGAACUAACUGUUUUUGAUCCAUGUUAUACAAACCACUGUUUUACAAAUCACACAACCUUAUGUGAACCUUUCAAUGCUACACAUUAUUCCUGCAACUGUAUUAAUGGUUAUUCUGGUCAGUUUUGUGAAAUAGCUGUAUCUGAUCCUUGUGACAAAAAUAGUUGCAUUUCUAAUCACACAUCCUAUUGUAAACCCAUUAAUGCAACCCAAUAUUCCUGCAUCUGUAAUGUUGAUUAUACUGGUCACUUCUGUGAGUCUCCUAUACCUAACAUGUGUAUCAAUAGCUCUUGUGUUCAAAACCAGACAGCUUCUUGUGUUGUUAUGAAUGCUACCAAUUAUUUUUGUGACUGUAUUGCUGGUUAUACUGGGCGAUACUGUGACUCCUUUGUGUCUAGUUCUUGUAGUAAUAACUCUUGCCAAAAUGGAGCCACCUGCAGAGGAAAGCUCUUGUCCUACACUUGUGAUUGUGGGACUGGCUACACUGGUCAGUUCUGUGAACUGCCUGUCUAUGACCCAUGUGAUAAUAAUAGCUGCAUCCUAAAUCAUACAGCCACUUGUGUAUCCUUGAAUACCACAAGUUACUUUUGUGUUUGUAAUGAUGGCUACACUGGUCAGUUCUGUGAAAUAGCAAAUUUCAACGAAUGUUACAAUAACAGCUGUGUUAUGAAUCACACAGCCUCUUGUCAGUACAUAAAUACUACAGAUUAUUCUUGUAUCUGCAAAAAUGGGUUCGCUGGUCAGUUUUGUGAAACUUCUAUAUCUGACUCAUGUGUUGACAAUUUCUGCAUUAAAAAUCAAACAGUCACAUGUGCAUCCACUAAUACUUCUUAUUAUAGAUGCAUCUGCAAAUCUGGAUUUACUGGACAGAGGUGUGAAACACUUAUUGAAGCCUGUAGCUCUUACCCCUGUUUAAAUAAUGCAACCUGUAGUGGAAUACUGAACAACUUUGUCUGCUCUUGUCCACCUGGAUGGACAGGUCAGUAUUGUGAGAACCCUAACCCUUGUGUAUCUCAACCCUGCUAUAACAGUGGGACAUGUCUACUGAGCCAGCUAUCUGACAUGUCCAAUGUCACUCUUCCAUACACAUGCCAGUGUGUUUGGCCUUUUUACAGCACCCAGUGCCAGCACUACAAUUACUGUGUCAGCAAUCCAUGUCAGAACAACUCCACUUGUGUGCUUGACCUUAACAGUUACCAGUGUCACUGUCCAACUGGCUACUAUGGCAAUAAUUGCCAAUAUCAAGACUUGUGUUUAUCUCAGCCAUGUUUAAAUGGUGGGGAGUGUCGGCCUGAUCAAAGUUCUUACAUCUGUCUCUGUCGCUGGAAUUAUUCUGGAACUAAGUGUGAGAUCCCAGUUAACUUGUGUGACUACAACAUCUGCUGGAAUGGUGGGACCUGCAUUUACAACUCAUCUUCUGACCUCAAUGCAGCUUAUUGCCACUGCCAUGAUGGAUUCACGGGUAGCCAUUGUGAAACUGAUAUAAAUGAAUGCAUCAGUCAGCCUUGCUUCAACAAUGGAACCUGUGUGGACAGUAGAAACUUUUUCCAGAACUCAAGUGUGUUUGUUGGGUUUCAGUGUGUCUGUUAUCCUGGUUAUACUGGACCUCUCUGUGCUGAUGAGGUAGAUGAGUGCCAGCAGGGAUUGUGCCGAAACAAUAGCACCUGUGUGGAUGCUGUGAAUAGUUUUACAUGUGUCUGUCUACCAGGCUAUACUGGCAUUUACUGUCAGAUGGAUAGUAGAGGCUGUGCAUCUAAACCUUGCCACAAUAACGCUUCAUGUUAUGAAAGUGGAGAUAAUUAUGUAUGCCACUGUUUAGAAGGGUUCACAGGCAAAACAUGCGAAGUCAACAUUGAUGACUGCCAAAAUGUCACAUGUCAAAAUGGAGCUCAGUGUCAAGAUGGCAUUAAUCAAUUUAGAUGUGCCUGUUUACCUGGUUACUCUGGACAAAUAUGUGAAAUUAUCACAGACUCAUGCUAUAGUCAACCUUGUUAUUACAAUGGCAGAUGUACUUACCAGGGUGUAUGUAGUUGUACAGAUGUUGUCCAGUCCUGUGGAUGGUCAGAUGAAAAGUGCCAGGUAGACAAAUGUCAAGCUAGGAGUGACUGCCACAGUAUAUCCCCAUCUUACCUGUGUAAUUGUACAGGAACUGGCUACACUGGUAUACAGUGUACUGUAGAUGAUAAUGAAUGUCUGAACUCGCCCUGUUUACAUGGAGGUAUUUGUGUCAACUUUGAAGGGGGCUUCAGCUGUAAUUGUCAAGGCACUGGUUACCAUGGAACUCAGUGCCACCUAGAUGAUGAUGAAUGCCAAGGUCAUGAUGUUUGCUAUAAUGGAGGUACAUGUUUGAAUACACCUGGCAGCUACCAAUGUGUAUGUACAUCUUACUGGACUGGACCAAGGUGUGGACAGAACAAAGAUGACUGUGAGACCAACCCUUGUAGUCAUGGUGGUCAGUGCAUGGAUUUAGUGAAUGGCUACACAUGUAAUUGUACUGGAACAGGGUACCAAGGAAUUAACUGUAGUGAUAACAUUGAUGAUUGCCUUAAUAACAGAUGUGUUAAUGGAGGUGUGUGUGUUGAUGGGAUCAGACAGUACACAUGUCUUUGUAACACAGGCUACACUGGACAGUUCUGUGAGAUUGCUGCUAACAAUUGCCAAAUCAUUGCCUGUCAAAAUAAAGGAGUCUGUGAGAAUGGUCUUACUUGUAACUGUAGUAACACUGGAUUCACUGGAGACUUAUGUCAAUUUGAUGUUGAUGAAUGUUCCAGUGGCUCAGAUGGAUGUAGUAAUGGGUCUAAAUGUGUCAACAUAGCCGGAAGUUAUUUUUGUGAAUGUACCUCUUCAACUACAGGGUCCAAGUGUGAGUUUCCACUGCCUCAAGCUUCCACUACACAAUCUCUCAGUGAUGGAGCUCUUGCUGCCAUUAUUGUCCUUCUUCUCAUUCUGAUCAUACUUAUAUUAGUGGCUGUCCUGUGGCAGAUCCUCAGGAGGAGGUCCACUCAUGGGGUCUACAAACCUGCUGAGGCUGAGACUCAGGUCUGGAGAGAAGAUGUACCAUUGAACAAGGUCUCUAGUGAAAGACAAGUGUUAGUCUAACUCUUCUGUUUGUGUUUCUUCCUGUUACAAUGCGCCGCCAUGAUGCUGUCUCAUGUGCUUCUGUGAACAUAUUGCCAUUCGUAUCUCUUCCUAGCGUGUCAAUACAGAAUCUUCACCUUUUUCGCUUGCAAUUUGUUUCUUAUGGCUAGUAAUCAGCAGAUCUGAGGACAUGCUUUCUGCAAAGCAAAAGUCAAAACAACUUUAAAAUUUAAUUAGCCUGUAUGAGGGAGCAUUUUCCAAAGGCUGAAGCCUAUUUGGACUAGGCAAGCUAUUGGACUCGAGACAAAAAUACACUUUCUCAACACAAUCGUCAUUCCAAUUGCAACAUAUGCAAGUGAGACAUGGAAGUCAUCUGACACCAGGUGGAGGGAGGCUUCAGACAUUGCCAAUGACAGAUCUUUAUGGAGACAGCUUGCUGCCCAAUGCGGGCGAACAGCGCGGGAGGACCUAAGUCUAAGUAAGUAUGAUAGAAACAUUGAACUAAGAGGAGAAAUAGUUUUUAUAACAUUAGUUUAGAAAGGAAAACAAUUUGUUCAUGAAUGUUUUACAUAUUCACAAAAUAACUCACUUAAUAUAUAGUUUCUUGUACUAUAAAUGGUGACACUUUAAAAUGGUGUCUUUUAAUGGGGAAAAAAAAUUUUCAACAUUGAACAGUUUGCUUUUAUUCAACAAGAAAGUAGCCGUUGCAUUGAGCUUUGUAACAUCUACACGAAACUAAUGGCGGCUUUUCGUACUUCAUUAAAACCUAAGGAGUUAAAUACAUGAUUUCUGAUCUAUGCCCUCUGUCUAUAUUUCUUGAAAGAACUGCUCUCUCUCUCUCUCUCUACGUGAUGUCACAUUAAAUGCCUUAGCUUCACUAGCUCCUGAUUUUUCUUCCUAAUCUAUGUUGGGCCUUAAGAUUAGGGAACGAUUUAGGACUGACUUACGAGACUCUCAAGCAGAAAGUAACCACACAACUGGUUUCUAAGCACUUGAAUCUUCUUGUAAACCAUGCUACUUUAAGAAUAGUUAUUCAUACCAAUCCAUUUUCCGGCUUCCUUCUCUCUCUCUCGUCACUUUCAUUCAGUACUUGCAUGUGCACCAUUCUACAUUCACACCACUCUGCAUUCGCACCAUUCUACAUUCGCACCACUCUGCAUUCCAAUGGUAACAUUUGGAUUUAAGUUUUUUCCUAUCCCUCCCUCUGCCCCUUUUAUCAAUGAUUAAUAGUUUCACUGAGUCUGAGCCACAAGUGAAAAAGUUGGACUGGAUGUCAGGGACUGUGUGGAGACGUAUUCCAGUGGAAGUUGUUGUUUUGUUUUAAGUGUUAAUAACUACUCUCUCUUGACAACUAACGUUUGUAUGGAAGAAAACAAAGCAAUAUUGGCAGUGGACAUUUCUAUCUUUGUUGUUCAUACCUCUCAGUUCAGCAUUCACAUUUUGAGAUCUCAAUGUGUUUGAACUAAUCUUAGUUUUGUUUUCCUGAAUAUAUAUUUUUUUGUUAUAAAUGUUCAAGUCGCAUACUAUGUACUCGUCUAUUUAUGUCAUCAUGAUAUUGUAAUAACUGAAGGGAGGCAACUCAACGAUACAUAGAUGUUUAUUUACAGUACAUCACAAAUACAUGUAGAACAACAUGUCUUGAGCACAGCAUCUUUAUCUAGGCUCUCCACUUGGGCGGAAAUCGUUCUCUCUCUCAUGUCAACAUCCGACUUAGUCUUGUCACUAAUAGUGCGAACCUUCUUUCUGCACUAGCCUGGAUUGCGGUGCGCAUGGCAGAGUUAUAGCAUUGCCCCCUUUUUAGAGCUUUUUAUCCCGAAAAGAAACAGUGCAGUGGAGGUUAGACAGUUCAGGUCGAGGUCGAUCGGUGGGAGACACAGGCGGCAGGGAGCGUGUUCCCCACGAAGUCAUCCGCUCUGGUUUCCUCUGGUGCCGCUUUCUCUUCCGCCAGUUGACCAGGCUGUUGUUGAGACGACGACGUGGCCGUUUGACACACAAAGAGAUAGUGUCGAGCACUGUUUUCUUCAACACAGCCGUUGAUCGGACACGCUGUCUCAGCAAACCUUCCCGACAGACGCCUCUCAAGGGAGCUGCAGGUUCACAUGCAGCCACGUUGCAAACAAAGUUCAAUGCGCUGCAGUCACCCUCACCCAACAGUUUCACAUCCAGGAGAUAGGUCUCUUCAAGUUCAAGUUUCGAAUGUCUUUCUCUUAACAGCUCAGAUUUAGCCUGGGUUGAAUGGCAUUCGUCUAUGCCAAUGUCGAUGAUGAUGGCAGAAGUACACAUGCCCUGUUUGUAGUUUUGUUGGCUUCCACAUUUCCUGUGUGAUGCGCCGCACGUACAGCUCAUGCUAAACUUCUGGAUGCAGUUGUCGAGCUUCGAAUUUCCCUUGUAGGCACCGACAGAUGUCUUUAAAGUCCAUAGCAACAUGCUUGAACGCAGACCCAACGUUGUCUUGAUCUGUCCGGCUCAUUGAGAUACUGGUAACAGGUCCAACAGGAACAAACGCUUCAGGCACAUAACAGACUUCUGUUUCUUCAUUUGUCUCUUUCCUUUCAAUUCGAUACAUCCCGUUGAGAUCGUCGCAGCAAUCGUUGUCACGUUUCUCGUUUUGAAAGUCACAACCACAAGACUUGCCCAAACACAAACACAGACGGCGCUCCAAUCCCCAGCGUCUCCCCAGCGUCUCCGUCACUACUGUUUGUGCAGCUACAAUCUUGACCACGCAACUUCUUUAACAACAGGUCUACAGGCAACUGCUCCUUUACCAACGAGUCUACUCCUUCUUUCGCUUGAGACACCAUUUUAUCUACCUUGUUCCCCAUACUGUUAAUAUGUUGACACAUUGCAUCAAUAUCUCCAUGUAUCCAAUGAGCUCAUAAAUUUCCGGUUCCAUUUCAAAUAGGCAGGUCUCCGGAUCUUCGUCUUCAUCUAUCAGGGCUUGACGAGCUGUGAGCACCUCCUUGCUGCCUUAGCUCUUUAACUAAAAGCUGGUCUAGUUGUUUCAACGAUGCCAUUGUGAUUGAAUCCUACCUCUUCUCGUUGAGUCGCCUAUGAUCCCACUUCUGACACCAAUGUAAUAACUGAAGGGAGGCAACUCAACGAGACAUAGAUGUUUAUUUACAGGACAUCACAAAUACAUGUAGAACAACUCGUAGAACAAAUCGUUCUCUCUCUCAUGUCAACAUCCGACUUAGUCUUGUCACUAAUAGUGCGAACCUUCUUUCUGCACUAGCCUGGAUUGCGGUGCGUAUGGCAAAGUUAUAACAAUAUUGUUGUAGGUAAUAACAGCCGAUGUAUUUAUUUACAGCAAGUAUAAACAAACAGGUUUGAACUUCAGCUAUCGAGUCCCAGAGUGUCUAAAGUUUCACCUGUCCUUUUCUAUCUAUCUUCCCAGUGCCGCCCCGGGUCCUAAAUACAGUUCACAGAUAGCACAAAGGCCGGCUCUUUAGCCAAGUCAGCUCUGACUCUAAUAACUUGCAGAUCACUUCAGCCGGAUCUACAACAGUCCUAGUAUCAACAUGUCUUCUUCUAUACGUGUUGAAGAGUGCUCUGAUGCGCACCAUCAGUAUCGGCGCGGGAGCAGAGUUACAACAUUGCCCCCUUCUCAGCUCUGUUCGUUCCGAACAGAUUUAUGUGCACUACAGGUUAGUGGACUUUGGUCAAUGCGGGUGGAGGUCGGUCUAUGGGAGCCAUAGACGGCAGGAAGCGUGUUCCCCACGAAGCCAUCUGCACUCUUCUAUGUGGGUGCCGCUUUCUCUUUCUCCAGUUGGUCAGUCCGUUCUUGAGACGAUGUCGUGAUUGUUGCGUUGACUUCUUUAUGAUCGUUGUCGUUGACUUCUUUAUGAUCGUUGUCGUUGACUUCUUCAUGAUCGUUGUCGUUGACUUCUUCAUGAUCGUUGUCGUUGACUUCUUCAUGAUCGUUGUCGUUGACUUCUUCAUGAUCGUUGUCGUUGACUUCUUCAUGAUCAUUGUCGUUGACUUCUUCAUGAUCAUUGUCGUUGACUUCUUCAUGAUCGUUGUUGUUGACUUCUUUAUGAUCGUUGUUGUUGACUUCUUUAUGAUCGUUGUUGUUGACUUCUUUAUGAUCGUUGUCGUUGACUUCUUUAUGAUCGUUGUCGUUGACUUCUUUAUGAUCGUUGUCGUUGACUUCUUCAUGAUCGUUGUCGUUGACUUCUUCAUGAUCGUUGUCGUUGACUUCUUCAUGAUCGUUGUCGUUGACUUCUUCAUGAUCGUUGUCGUUGACUUCUUCAUGAUCAUUGUCGUUGACUUCUUCAUGAUCGUUGUUGUUGACUUCUUUAUGAUCGUUGUUGUUGACUUCUUUAUGAUCGUUGUUGUUGACUUCUUUAUGAUCGUUGUCGUUGACUUCUUCAUGAUCGUUGUCGUUGACUUCUUCAUGAUCGUUGUCGUUGACUUCUUCAUGAUCGUUGUCGUUGACUUCUUCAUGAUCGUUGUCGUUGACUUCUUCAUGAUCGUUGUCGUUGACUUCUUCAUGAUCGUUGUUGUUGACUUCUUUAUGAUCGUUGUUGUUGACUUCUUUAUGAUCGUUGUUGUUGACUUCUUUAUGAUCGUUGUCGUUGACUUCUUUAUGAUCGUUGUCGUUGACUUCUUUAUGAUCGUUGUCGUUGACUUCUUCAUGAUCGUUGUCGUUGACUUCUUCAUGAUCGUUGUCGUUGACUUCUUCAUGAUCGUUGUCGUUGACUUCUUCAUGAUCGUUGUCGUUGACUUCUUCAUGAUCAUUGUCGUUGACUUCUUCAUGAUCGUUGUUGUUGACUUCUUUAUGAUCGUUGUUGUUGACUUCUUUAUGAUCGUUGUUGUUGACUUCUUUAUGAUCGUUGUCGUUGACUUCUUUAUGAUCGUUGUCGUUGACUUCUUCAUGAUCGUUGUCGUUGACUUCUUCAUGAUCGUUGUCGUUGACUUCUUCAUGAUCGUUGUCGUUGACUUCUUCAUGAUCGUUGUCGUUGACUUCUUCAUGAUCGUUGUCGGUGAUGCUCGCCUUCAGACACAUAUAGAGGUAGUGGCGAUACCUGUAGUUGUCAUCAGGGCAGUUGUUCCUGCAUCCAGGUUCAGCAGACCUUGUCGAUGGACGUCCUGUGACAUAGUUGUAGACCCACAGGUAGCCAUGGUUUCAAACACAUGGUCAUUGUCAGAUACGUCACUAAGGCAUGCCCACGAAGCAACCUUACAAGGUUCUGUGUGUAAAUAUUCAAGUGUUGGCUCAGGUUCCACUGGAUAAGAUUCACUAUCGAUGCCCCUGUCAAUUGUGAAGGCAGAAGUACAAAUAUCUUUUGGGUGCUGGCUUUCUUGAUGGCUUUCUUCGCAUUUGCACUCAAUGUCUGUUUCUAUACGUGUGGAACAGUGCUCUGAUGGGCACCAGCAGUAUCGGUAUGUAUAGUUAGGUCAUCAUGGUAUGUAUAGUUAGGUCAUCAUGGUAUGUAUAGUUAGGUCAUCAUGGUAUGUAUAGUUAGGUCAUCAUGGUAUGUAUAGUUAGGUCAUCAUGAUAUGUAUAGUUAGGUCAUCAUGGUAUGUAUAGUUAGGUCAUCAUGAUAUGUAUAGUUAUGUCCAGGAAAACACUCAACAUGUUAAUGAUAACAUAGAUAAGGAUUUAAUGAUUAAAUAAAGAACACACACAAACCACAGAAUGUCAGUUUUGUUCUAGAUCUAGUUUGGUUCAGCAAAAUAAGCCGGCAUUUACUACCAUGUCUCCAUUUCCUUCUCCUCUUGCUCCACGCUCGUGUGGCACAGUGUCUAGUGCGCACCAUGUAUCUCAGUGCGGGAAUAGAGUUAACAACAAUAUGUAUAGUUAUGUCAUCACGAUACGUAUAGUUAUGGCAUCAUGGUAUGUAUAGUUAGGUCAUCAUGAUAUGUAUAGUUAGGUCAUCAUGAUAUGUAUAGUUAUGUCAUCAUGGUAUGUAUAGUUAGGUCAUCAUGGUAUGUAUAGUUAGGUCAUCAUGAUAUGUAUAGUUAGGUCAUCAUGAUAUGUAUAGUUAUGGCAUCAUGAUAUGUAUAGUUAUGGCAUCAUGAUAUGUAUAGUUAUGUCAUCAUGAUAUGUAUAGUUAUGUCAUCAUGAUAUGUAUAGUUAUGUCAUCAUGACAUGUAUGUUUAUGGCAUCAUGAUAUUUUAAUAACUGAAGGGAGGCAACUCAACGAGACAUAGAUGUUUUGCCAUGGAGAUGUGACAAACACAUAGGACAUCUGCCUUGAACACAGCAUCUUCAUUUCGGCUCUAGACUUGUGCGGAAAUCGUUCUCUCUUCUCUAAUGUCAACAUCCUUCCUAGUCUAGUCAUUAAUAGUGCGCACCUUCUGCACUAUCUUGAAUGGUGGGGUUAAAACAAUAUGUAUGUUUAUGGCAUCAUGAUAUGAUGCUGUCUUAUAACUUUAUGGCAUCAUGCUAUUUAUAUUUAUGUUAUUAUGUUAUGUAGAUCUAUAUUUAUCAUAUCAUUUAUCAUAUUCAUCAUGCUAUCUUAUAUAAUUAUAAUACGCAUAUUUAUGUCAUUAUGUUAUGUUUAGUAUACUUAUAUUAUGUUAUGUAUAUUUUUGUCAUUAUGUUGUGUAUAUUUAUAUAUUUAUGUAUAUUUUUGUCAUUAUGUCAUGUAUGUUUAUGUUAUUAUGUUAUGUAGAUCUAUAUUUAUCAUAUCAUUUAUCAUAUUCAUUUAGCUGACAUGUGUAUAUGUAUGGUCGUGCUCCUGGGUAGUACAGCAGUAAGUACUUCAACUGUCGAUACUUUUGGUCUUAUUACUUUCAAAUGUAAGCCUAUGAAGCACAAAUAAAUAGGGUAUUGAUAUCAAA